AUAUUUCGUUCACAAUGUUUUUUCGUAAGGCCAGACAGUGGAAUAUUUUAUUCGUGUUGGCACUACUGAGUUCGGUUAAAGAAAUAUGACAACAGUGUCACAGUGCCUAGAGUAUGUUAUUUAGAAAAAAGUGACGAUUGCUCGGAGAUACAUGUUUGCCUAUUAGAAUCCGUGGUACCCUACUAUCACCAAUUCUUCCCUGUAAUGGUCAGUAUAGAACUACGAGUAAUAUGAGGAUUUAAUCAAUGGAGAAUUUAACUUUAUACUAUGGAAGGGGUAAAAGUAUUGUACGAUUGUCGCAAUUCUAAGCAGCGCGGGAGAGAGAAACGUGUAUUGUUCCGUGUGAAAGAAAAGGACGCAGCGUAACAGCUGCUCGUGGUAUACGCAUCGAUGUGAGACUUCAUGUGAUAAAAGCCGAAAUAUUAAUUACAUUAAUUUUAAUUAAGGGUAGUCUUGACUUAAUUUUUUAGGCAAUCCAUUUGCAAUGUGUUUGUUUACAUAUUAAGAUUACUAAAAAAUGUAUUUCACUCUGUUGAUCUUAUGUGCGAUUAAUGUUUGUGCUGGCCUACCAAAAAAAACGUUGUGAACGUAUUAUAGCUAUAGUAUCGACCGCGACAAAUAACAAUCGCUUGG